rnacentral:rRNA from 1 species
CCAGUAAUCCGUCUGAGUUCCUUAAAUGACUCGACGGGCGACUUCCGGGAAACCAAAGUUUUUAGGUUCCAGGGGAAGUAUGUUUGCAAAGAUGAAACUUAAAGAAAUUGACGGAAGGGCACCACCAGGAGUGGAGCCUGCGGCUUAAUUUGACUCAACACGGGAAAACACACCCGGCCCGGACACUGGAAGGAUUGACAGAUUGAGAGCUCCUUCUUGAUUCAGUGGGUGGUGGUGCAUGGCCGUUCUUAGUUGGUGGAGCGAUUUGUCUGGUUAAUUCCGAUAACGAACGAGACUCUAGCCUACUAAAUAGAUCGUCGGCUUACAAACGCUGAUGAGACUUCUUAGAGGGACAGGCGGCGAUUCAGCCGCACGAAACAGAGCAAUAACAGGUCUGUGAUGCCCUUAGAUGUCCGGGGCCGCACGCGCGCUACACUGAAGUGAUCAGCGUGCAUUUUCAGCCUACUCUGCCAAGAGUGGGAAACCCAAUGAACCUUCUUCGUGAUUGGGAUAGGAGAUUGUAAUUAUUCUCCUUGAACGAGGAAUUCCCAGUAAGCGCGAGUCAUAAGCUCGCGUUGAUUACGUCCCUGCCCUUUGUACACACCGCCCGUCGCUACUACCGAUUGAAUGUUUUAGUGAGGUCUUCAGACUGGCCGGCGCAGCUGCUCUCGUAGUAGCAGCGCUGUGUUUGGGAAGAUGCCCAAACUUGAACAU